GUGUCCUGGGGUCAAGCAGCCCCCAAUGGUUCCUUGAUGCGAGCCCUCUUCUGGAACAUCCGCGGCUUCGGCCAUGAUGGCCGCCGCUGCCAGUUAGUGGAGUACAUGCGAGAUGAGCACAUAGACAUCAUGGCCGUGCAGGAGACCAUGCGUCGCGAAUUUGCGCUUCCUGAGCUUGACCGGCUGAGCUCUCACCUCUUUGCGUGGCACUGGCUCCCUUCUAGUGGGAGCGCGGGUCACUCGGGCGGCAUCCUCUUAGGUGUGAAGGAUGCCACCUUUGAGGUGGGCAGC
rnacentral:rRNA from 1 species